GGGGAUAUAGCUCAGCGAACAGAGCAACUCGCUACGAACGAGUAGGUCGGUGGUUUGAAUCCACCUAUCCUCG
rnacentral:tRNA from 1 species